rnacentral:rRNA from 1 species
UACGAAGGGUGCAAGCGUUGUCCGGAAUUAUUGGGCGUAAAGAGCUCGUAGGCGGUUUGUCGCGUCUGCUGUGAAAACUCGAGGCUCAACCUCGAGACGCCGAUGGAAACCAUUUGGCCAGAGUCCGGAAGAGGAGAGUGGAAUUCCUGGUGUAGCGGUGAAAUGCGCAGAUAUCGGGAGGAACACCUAUGGCGAAGGCAGCUCGCUGGGACGUUACUGACGCUGAGACGCGAAAGCGUGGGGAGCAAACAGG